CACCGCUGUCCCCGCAGGGUGCCGGCAGCUCACAGCCCGCACUGGGGGUGUUGCAGGGCAGCCCGCACUGACGGCCCCGUGUCACUGCCACCCCGCAUCCUUUCUGCUCCUGGGGUGUCUCCGAGCUCUGACAAUGCCUGUGCCACACACUGCGACCCGGGGUGUGCCAUGGGAACAGCCCUGCUCUCUGCCACGGAACGGUCCUGCACUGCCCGCAUCACACCUGCUGGUCCGGGUACAGUGCGGGGGGUCUGCGAUGUCCCCGUGCUGCAGCAGGCAGCCCGGAUCCCUACCUGGUGCUGGGUGCUGUGGCACAGCCUGGCUUGGUGCAAGCUGCUGGCAGAGGGAGGCUGGGCUUGGAGUCAGGACUCCUCUAUGGAGAGUGAGCUUAAUCCAUACCAAGAGCAAAAUCGUCACAUCAGGAGAAAAGGUGACUGGGGAGGUCCGAAGGUCUGCACACACAGACAGGAAUGUACGUGGAAGCUGCUGGUUUCCGUGACUUACUCAGACAUCUCUGCUUAAGGCCUCCUGGCGGGUACAGCUGAGAGCUUUGGUGCUUCCUAGCACUGCUCUGUUCACACUGACUGCUGUGGGCCUUCUCUAAAUUUUCUUGUAAAAAAACGAGUUUUUCUGCCAUGACAGGUUGCUGUGGGGUGAUGGAUAUUUGUCUGGGUGAGGAGGGCAGACUUCCUUGCUCAGGGAAGUGCACUCUGGUCGGGGUCAUCUCGCACCCAUUGGUAACCGCAGUCCCGAGUUACAGACAGGGAGGGCAGGUUCUGAGCGCAUCGUGUUGCACCAGAUUUGUACGGCUUUCAUCGAUUUUCCACCGGAUAAAACGCAAGCCUGCAAACGACCAAGGUCGGGCGCUCGGGGGCAGCCAGCUCAGUGCUGGGGGGGCAGCGGCGGGGAGCGGGGGGCCGGGGCUGCCCAGCGCCCCCCCAGCCACGCCGCGGGGGUUUCUCCUCGCUCCGAGCCGCCCUCCCCGCAGGACGCCCCCAGCCCCCGGCCCCUCCGCUCGCUCGGGGGCGAGGAGGGCGCCGAGCCCCGGCCCCGCGGCAGGGUCGGAGCCUGCGGGCGGCGGCAGCGCCGGGUGUGCACUGACCCCUAGCGGCACCGGCACCGGCACCGGGAGCUCCCCGGCGGGCGGCAGCGGCUCUGAGCAGCCCAGCGAGGGGCUCCGCAGAGCGGCGGAGGGCCGAAAGCCAGAGGGGUUCGAUGCGUUUAACGCUAGCCUGACAUUUCCACAGGGGCUGCGAGAGAUCUCACCCGCAGGGAUCUCCCAGGCCUGCAGAACCAGGUGUGCUGGACCAGGGCGGGCUGGUUCCCUGGCUCCAGGGCAGAAGGGAGAACCUUGGCCUCUCCCGCACCCGUUCUGUUCCCACCUGGCCCCGUUGCUGCUUCCCCGCCUGGCCCCUGCCAGGGAGUGAGCGCUGGAGAGAAGCUGAGGGAGCACCGAGGGAUCGGAGAAGGCUGCGGCCCUGCCCUGCUGGGGGCUGCAUAGGCCAGAGGGAGUGGGAGUGGGCUCGCUUGCUCUCAGCCUCAUUAAAAUCUGUUGGGUUCAGUAUAAACAAUUGCCUUGUCAUCAUUUCAGACAAAGCGUCCAGCUCAGGACAAAGUUAUUGGCCCUGCCACAGAUGCUGCUCCCUGCAGCCCAGCAGGCUGCCAGCCACCGAAUGUUGUCCUGUCACUGCAGGUGCUGCUUCUGGGCUCUCCCCGAGGGAGGGUCACUGCCCACAUGCACAAGACCCCGGCUGAAUCCCCGUGUGUGACCCUGGGAGAGCCACAGCCUGUGCAGCCACCAGACCCCUGCACUGCUUUGGUGAGGAUCAGCUGAGACAGAGGUGUUGAUGUGCUCCAGGUGGGCUCAGCUCCUGCAGGAGCAGGACUCUGCAAUUACUAAUAAAAGGUACUUACUUGGGCUACUGAUGUUACUU
rnacentral:lncRNA from 1 species